rnacentral:rRNA from 1 species
UUUAAAGUCCAUUCUGCCAAAUGAAUUUUUUUAACGGCUGCAGUAUAUAUAACUGUACUAAGGUAGCAUAAUAAUUUGCUUUUUUAAUUAAAAGCUAGAAUGAAAGAUUUAAUGAAAUAUAAACUCUCUCAAUUUAAAAAAUUUAAUUUAUUAUUUAAGUAAAAAAACUUAAAUUUUUUAAUUAGACGACAAGACCCUAUAGAAUUUUAUUUAAAAAUUUAUUUAUAAAUUUAAAUUAUUAUAUAUAAUUAAAUUUUUGAAUUUAAUUGGGGUAAUUUAAAAAUCAAAUAAACUUUUUAUUAAAAAACAUUAAUUAAUGAAUAAUUUAUCUUUAAAUUAAAAUUAAAAAAAUUAAUUAACUUAGGGAUAACAGCAUAA